rnacentral:tRNA from 1 species
GUCACUUUGGCGGAGUGGUUAACGCGCUGCCCUGCUAUUGACCAUCCUAUAGCAUAGGCAGUUCCUUCGGGAGCGUAGGUUCGAAUCCUACAGGUGACG